rnacentral:rRNA from 1 species
UACGAAGGGGGCUAGCGUUGCUCGGAAUCACUGGGCGUAAAGCGCACGUAGGCGGACUCUUAAGUCGGUGGUGAAAUCCUGGAGCUCAACUCCAGAACUGCCUUCGAUACUGGGAGUCUCGAGUCCGGGAGAGGUAAGUGGAACUGCGAGUGUAGAGGUGAAAUUCGUAGAUAUUCGCAAGAACACCAGUGGCGAAGGCGGCUCACUGGCCCGGUACUGACGCUGAGGUGCGAAAGCGUGGGGAGCAAACAGGG